rnacentral:rRNA from 1 species
UACGGGGGGAGCAAGCGUUGUUCGGAUUUACUGGGCGUAAAGGGCGCGUAGGCGGCCACUGCAAGUCGGUUGUGAAAUCUCCGGGCUUAACCCGGAAAGGUCAACCGAUACUGCAGGGCUAGAGUGCAGAAGGGGCAACUGGAAUUCUCGGUGUAGCGGUGAAAUGCGUAGAUAUCGAGAGGAACACCUGCGGCGAAGGCGGGUUGCUGGGCUGACACUGACGCUGAUGCGCGAAGGCUAGGGGAGCAAACGGG